CUUGACACUGAACAUUGAGCCUUGAUGUGUAGGAUAGGUGGGAGGCUUUGAAGUGUGGACGCCAGUCUGCAUGGAGCCGACCUUGAAAUACCACCCUUUAAUGUUUGAUGUUCUAACGUGGACCCGUAAUCCGGGUUGCGGACAGUGUCUGGUGGGUAGUUUGACUGGGGCGGUCUCCUCCUAAAGAGUAACGGAGGAGCACGAAGGUUGGCUAAUCCUGGUCGGACAUCAGGAGGUUAGUGCAAUG
rnacentral:rRNA from 1 species